CUCAUGGGAUAUAUGGUUGAAGAGUUUAAGCCAAUGCCAUUUCUCUAAUGGCAAUAUAUCCUAAAAUGCUGGAUGCAUCCAUUCCUUUCAGUCCUUCAGCUUUCCUUACCCUGAUGAUUGGCUGAUGUGUCCCUUUACAGGGCUGAUGCUCUUCUUUCACCUUCCCAGAGUGUUGUGUCUGAAUUUUGAGAAGAAUAGUAAGCUGCCACAGGAACUGGACAGAAAAUCACCAGUUAUAACUGCUGCAAAAGGAAGGAACCAAGGCACUUUUGUACUGCCAACCAAAUGUUGUAAGGAACUGAACCCAAUUCCUUCCUGUUGCUGCCUGCAUGGUAUGGCUGCCUGGAGAAAGGAGAGAUUGCAGCUACAACUAUUGCUGCAGAUUAGUGGUCCCUCUGCCAGAAUGGAGGCAGCAGAAGUGAUUGCAUUCAUCAUAACAGCUGUUUUUGCUCCUGCUCAGCAUAAGAGAAUCCUUCUUGUCCUGUCUUAGCUUUAACUCCAAUUAUUCAGAUUUUCCUGCAUAAGCACACAUACACAGUUGGCUUUCUGUCCUUAAGGAAACCAGCUGAAGAUGAUGCAAGGGAAUUGUAUGCUCCAAUGCAUGAGGGAGAGUCAGUGUCUUACUGAAUGCAUUUGUAGCUCUUCAGAAAAUAUGUGAAUGUAUGUUGUGUUGUUCUUGUUGAUCAAAAGACUAGAUUACUCUUAGAAAGAAAAACUUAAAGUGCAUUUUUUGUUCCUUUAGCAGCAGUCAUGACACUGUCAGUUCUUGUAAACCACUGUAAGAAGUCAAACAUAAUCCAGCUGUAAAUGAGCAAGUUCUAGUUGCUUGAUCACAAAUUAUGUUCUCCUUUGAAAUAGUUUCUUUGAAACCCAAGUUUGUUUUCAUUAUCCAAAUAUGCUCGGGUGUUGGGGGGAGAUGAUUUCAUAAUGUAAUAACAGUUACUUGAUACUUGACAAAAUAGUAGCUUUUAUAAUUCCAUAGAUAUUUUAAGAAAUAAACAAAAUACAUGUUAAAUCCUACUUGCA
rnacentral:lncRNA from 1 species